CACGUAGGGGACGAGCGUUGUCCGGAUUCAUUGGGCGUAAAGCGCGCGUAGGCGGCUCGGAAAGACGGUCGUGAAAUGCCGGGGCUCAACCCCGGGACUGCGUCCGAUACUCCCGAGCUGGAGGCAGGUAGGGGAGAUCGGAAUUCCUGGUGUAGCGGUGAAAUGCGCAGAUAUCAGGAGGAACACCGGUGGCGAAGGCGGAUCUCUGGGCCGGAACUGACGCUAAGGAGCGAAAGCGUGGGGAGCGAACAGG
rnacentral:rRNA from 1 species